rnacentral:misc_RNA from 1 species
AUGAUGGGCAGUGUGUGCUCAUCUGUUGUAUGUUUCGGAUUCAUACAUAUUUGUCAUUAUUAAUGAAUAUUCGUUAUUUGUCGUCAUUGAGCGCUUGGCUGCGAUACAAUUAAAAAGAUAAUAGUGAAAUUAGCCAAGGUAUUUGAUUUGAUAUAUUUAAUAUUUCUUUCAACAUAUACUAAAUAGGUUUCCUAUUAUCGGAUUAUUCAAUUUUUUUAAACAUCAUAUCAAUAUUAUAUUGUUAAUUAUACAAAUAUAAUGUUUGACAUGUGGAUCCUUGUCGGAAAAUUGACUCGUUUUCAAUUCUCUAAUUCUAGGAUUAAAGUGGCUAUGUUUUUAAAGAUAUUUCAAUUAUAAACUUUUUAACACAAUAAUAUAUAUUAUUGUGGGUAAAGGUUUUAUUUAAUAUAAUAUUAUUACACAUAUAUAUUGCAACAUAGAUAAAUUAUCAGUUUGUCAUCAAAAUAAAAUAAAUUUGUAUUCAAUUUUAUGUUGAAUUUAAAUAAUGUACGUGUGAUAAAGUUAUAUUAAGUAAGUGUCAAUAAAAAGAUAUUUUUGAACGAAUUUAAAUAUGUAUAUAAUUUAUAUGUAUAAAAAGAUGUCAACAUUGUAUAACUUACGAACGUGAUUGCUAUAUAAAUGUAUAGCCAUAUUCGUCGUUUUUUAUAAAUACAUAAAUUUUUUUAUUCAAAAAUAAUAUUAAUUUGUCAUGUAUUUUAUUUAUUAAAAUUAUAUUUAUGUGUAAAUAUUUAUUUAUUGUACACAUAGAAAAUAACAUU